UCCAUUGCAGUACGCUAUUGAGAUAUUAAACAAAAACCUGUUUUCUUUGUUAUUUAGGUGACAUGUACCGAGUGCAAUACAUUUAGAUGCUCUCGGAGGCAAGAACUGAUACACCAUUUGGAGUGUGUUCACCAACGGAAAAUGGAGUGCAAAGAAAUGACAUUUAAUUCUGUGGAAGAUUUCUUUCUGUGGAAGGAACAGAUGCAAACUGAAGAAAAGGUUUCCUUCAUAAGACCAAGUGGAAAAAAGAAAUGUGAUUACUUUGUUUGUCACCGCUCUGUAUAUGCUGACAAAACAGCUUCAGGCAGAAGGUUAAACGAACCUUCAAUCAAAAUUGGUGGCACCUGCCCUGCCUGUUUGGUAGUCAAAAAUUUGUCGUCUAACGUGGUUAAUGUCAAGUUGUACAUGACACAGUCUCUCUGUGGGUAGCCUACAUCUGACCACAGCUGACAGGGCUAUGGUUGCUGAAUUAAUUGCACAAGGUGUUCCUGAUACUACAAUUUUGAAGAGAGUGAGAGGGAACAUUCAAGUUGGACUCUUCAGAAGAGUUCAUCUUUUAAGCAAACAAGAUAUUAGAAAUAUUAGGAAAGAAUACAAGCUGUGCUAUAGUGCUGCACAUCCAGAUGGUGCAACCAUUGUUGAGCUGUGAGUGAGACAACAAGAGCGCCUAGCGAAAGAUUCCCCGGUGAUUUAUUACAAAGCCCAAAGCACUGUGGAUAAUGUGAAACAAAUUAUCAGAAAGUGACUUUAUGAUAGUCCUUAUGACUGAGUACCAGCGGAAAAUGGUAAAAAAGUUCUGUGCAGGAAACGUUUUGAUAGACAGCACACAUGGCACUAACAGAUAUAUAUUUCAUCUGACCACACUGCUGACCAUGGAUGAAUUUGGUGCUGGAUGCCCAAUUGCUUAUUGCCUCAGUACACAUACUGACACAAGGUCCAAGCAAGUUUUCUUUGAGCAGAUUAAAAAAUAUGCUGGAAGCAUCAAAACAAAGGUACUCAUGCCUGAUGACUGUGACAACUACUACAGUGCCUGGAGUGUAGUUACGGGCCAUAGUGAACAUAGGUUAUUAUGUACCUGGUAUGGGGAUCGGGCAUGGAGACGGAAUCUAUGUGCAAAAGUAAAUGGGAAUGCAAUGCUGAAGAGUACUGUGUACAAAGCUCUGAAAACUUUGCACUUACAGAUAGAGAGAAGUUACCAGAGCCGCUGGAUGGCGUGUUAUUUCCAGAAAACUGAGAAAGAUAAAUGCUGGGGGUUAUGGAAUACUGACAGAAAUAAGAAAGAGAAGCAAUAUUCAAUGAAAUGCUUUCUCAGACACAAAAAUCACAAAUAUUGCAUUCUGAAUCUCCACUUCCUGAUUCAGAAUGCAUUCUGACCACCUCAUCAGUGGAAUCUUGCUGCUUCACUAUAUCUGAAUCACGAGAGUCUGUAGUUUGGGGCUCUUUCCUCCAUUCAGGCUCCUUUGAGGUUUUCUUUGCACUGAUCGUUUCUGGUAGAGAUGAUGCGAUUCGACGUCUUCUUGUUUUGUGUUAUAGGCGAUAUGUUGUAGAGACUCCCAGCAACUGGAACGGCAGACAACCCUGGCAGAAAGAAAACGGUUUGUGUUUAUUUGUGAAGUGCAGCGUGUUUUGGACAUUGUAGAAUGGCAAAACAAACUUUUUUGUAAUAGACAAUUAAUAAAUUUUACUAACAUGCUUUAGCUCUACACUUA